GUCAAAGAGUCACAAACACCAGAGGAUAGCGGCUCAGGGUGUAUACUCUCUGUGGAAAAGAAGCCACACAAUGCUUACUGGCAUUAAUCAGGAAAAUUCACUUUUGUCUUCGAGAACCAUCUGUAGGAAAUGACGAUGAGAUAAACCCUACUGAAAAUGGUGCAACCACCCAAAGAUCAUCACGGCUGAAGUCUCUGGACACCUUUAGAGGGUAAAAUGUGCGAUUCAGAAGGAGCAAAUAUUUCCUGGCAUCAUCUUUUUUUCAUUACUUUAUGGUCUAGAAAG
rnacentral:lncRNA from 1 species